CGCAGAGUUGAAACUAGCUCACCGAAACGUGAGCUUAGCUCAAGCUCUCCGCUCACGGCCUAAAAGUGAGCGGAGCUCAAGCUCAAGCUCACACAAAAAAAGUUGAGCUUCGCUCAAGCUCACGUUCGCUCAAGCUCAUUUCCAAAUUUGCUUUAAUGAGAAAGCGGUCAAUGCUCAAUGGUCUAACAUUGAAUGAGAAUGACAAAUCUGCCAGAAUCAUGCCCAUCGCUGCCAGAAUCAUUAUUCUCUACAUUUACAGUUUCACAAUCAACUUGAUCAUCACCACCUACAGCACCCACAUGACUUUGACUUUGUAAACUUGUAGAAGCUGUUCGCUUUUUUGACGCCAUUUCUCAUUGGUCUCUACUCUCUAAAGAGUUUAAGACUUUCAGUUUCAGAUUUCCUGGUUUUAAUUUGAACGAAAAUUAGUGUGAAUUAAGCAAUUAACUACAGAAAACCAAUAUUUAAGACACAACUCACAAGUUCAUGUUUUUAUUUGUUCAGUUCAAUCACUAAGCUGUAACUGCAAGCAUAAGCAACUAGUAUAGGCUAGGCUAUUAGCAAGUAGCACAGACAGCUUUCCACCUCCAAACGUGGAGAUUUGUCUCAUUUCGGCAACCACUUUUAAUUUUGGCCGCUAGAUGGCGCCACAAGCGUGAGCUUCCGCUCAUGAGGCAAAAGCUCAAGCUCAAGCUCACACUUUUUCAAAAAGAGCGAAGCUCAAGCUCAAAGCUCACAAAAUGAGUGAGCUUUUGAGCUAAAGCUCAAGCUCUCGUGAAGCUCGUUUCAACUCUGGCUUUGCGUUAUUUUUCAUUAAUCAUCCCUUAGAUAAUGUUAUUAUUUCUUAUUACAUUGUACAGGGAAACAUAAUAUUUUGUUCUUAUCUGUGUUCAGUUUGUAAACUAAGCUAAUAUUCCUUAAUUUUUGACACUUUCAGUAAGGAAUUAUGAAUCACAAAAAAAUAUUAUUUUUGUCUACAUAAUUUAGUUAGGAAGUAUCCCAUAUAAUAAACAGUGUAACUUUGACUAUAUAAUUGUAGAUAUGCUAAUUGAUGUUGCAGUCUGUAAUACUGGUUUGUGUUCCUAACCAUCAAUUUUCAAGAUUUAUCAUGUUCGCAGUCCCAGAUGCAGUUGUUCCUGUAUUAUUUAUGAUCAACAAAUCUGGAAAAGAUUUUAUAAUAAUGUUUUGAACAAUAGAAAUUUUAACUAUCGUUAUUUCAUUUGUUAAAUUCAUUAGCUUUUGUUCACUCUGUCUGUAGGUAUUCAGGUGGUAUUUCUACAUAGGCUGUGAUGCUGGCUAGUAUUCCUGGCUGUGACUCUGCAUCUCAUGGUAGUUUGGUAAAAUGUGUAGAGAAGUGAAUUAUAAGGUUAUAGUUUUUAUAAAUGGUAUGUUUUAUGAAUUUAAUAGAAGUUGGAUUUGUUGAUAGUUUUUAUUUAGUUGUGGGGGUGAUUUACUCGUUGUUCAGGUGGUUUGAAUGAUUGUAAGUUACUUUUAAUGAGGUCUUUAUCUGCAGGUGGUAGAUAAGAGUUCAUGUGCAUGAAGAUGGAUGUGGAAAAUUGGUGUUGGCUGCUGUGUGACUGGCUUAUUAACACUAACAAUUACCUGUGCCUGUAUUUUUUCUAGUCCAUUCUACAGGGCUAGGUUGCUCAGUAUCAGGGAAUUGCGAGCACUGAACUGGACUGCCAGUGUCAUGAAUUUCGAGGAUGCUGUAAACCACGUAGUAGGGGAGCAAUUUAUUAAGGUACAUAGAAAAUAGUUUUGUAGGCAAUAAACGUUUUCUAUUUGGUAGGUCCAAAGUGCUACCUGUUCUACAUCUGGCUUAACUAAAGUAGUCAAUGGACGGAGAAUAGCAUCUUUGAUGACGAAGGAUAUGAACUUCGAUUUGUAAGCAACAAAUGUUUAACCCGCUAUUAGUGCUGGGCCAUGCACUCGUGAAUAGAUUUGGCUAGAAUAUUUUUGAAUGAAUUGUUGGAGACGAUAUUGCGCUGAUUUUGGUGGUUCCCGGGACGUAAGGUUGAAACGGGUGCUAAAGGAAUUUGUUCCUUAAAACUUCGUCGGAAGAUUGUUUUAUUUUCUGAUAUGAAACGAUAUGUCUGAUGUAUUUUUUAUAACCAAUUGAAAAUCAUUUCAGACCCUUGUUUUCUAUGGCCUUGUUCCCUUUGACUUGUGAUAAAUUCGCUGUGGUAAAGUCGUUGCCUGAUCAGUUGGUCAGAAGUAUACGAAUGAAUUCUGAUUACGUAAAUUCGCUUACGUGAAAUUUCGUACUUGGCAAAUGUUUUUUUUCGAUUCUAUUAGCUGGGAUUAUUAGAGAUUGGGAUAUUAGAUGAGUAAUAUCCGCGCGUGUCUAUUGUACUGUUUGUCAUGUUUAUAAUGUUCAUGUAAUAUGAUAGAUCAAUAAAACGAUUUUAUGAUAA